rnacentral:rRNA from 1 species
UGCGGCCUAUCAGGUAGUAGUGGGUGUAGCGUACCUACUAGCCUACGACGGGUACGGGUUGUGAGAGCAAGAGCCCGGAGAUGGAUUCUGAGACACGAAUCCAGGCCCUACGGGGUGCAGCAGGCGCGAAAACUUUACAAUGCCGGCAACGGCGAUAAGGGGACCUCGAGUGCCAGGUUACAAAUCUGGCUGUCGUGAUGCCUAAAAAGCAUUGCACAGCAAGGGCCGGGCAAGACCGGUGCCAGCCGCCGCGGUAACACCGGCGGCUCGAGUGGUAACCGUUAUUAUUGGGUCUAAAGGGUCUGUAGCCGGCCGGAUAAGUCUCUUGGGAGAUCCAGCAGCUCAACUGUUGGGCUUUCAGGAGAUACUGUCUGGCUCGAGGCCGGGAGAAGUGAGAGGUACUUCAGGGGUAGGGGUGAAAUCUUGUAAUCCUUGAAGGACCACCAGUGGCGAAGGCGUCUCACCAGAACGGACCUGACGGCAAGGGACGAAAGCUAGGGGCACGAACCGGAUUAGAUACCCGGGUAGUCCUAGCCGUAAACGAUACUCGCUAGGUGUCGGCCACGGUGCGACCGUUGUCGGUGCCGUAGGGAAGCCGUGAAGCGAGCCACCUGGGAAGUACGGCCGCAAGGCUGAAACUUAUAGGAAUUGGCGGGGGAGCACCACAACGGGUGGAGCUUGCGGUUUAAUUGGAUUCAACGCCGGAAAUCUUACCGGGACCGACAGCAAUAUGAAGGCCAGGCUGAAGACUUUGCCGGAUUAGCUGAGAGGUGGUGCAUGGCCGUCGUCAGUUCGUACUGUGAAGCAUCCUGUUAAGUCAGGCAACGAGCGAGACCCACGCCCACAGUUGCCAGCGUACUCUCCGGAGUGACGGGUACACUGUGGGGACCGCCGCUGCUAAAGCGGAGGAAGGAAUGGGCAACGGUAGGUCAGUAUGCCCCGAAUAUCCCGGGCUACACGCGAGCUACAAUGGUUGGUACAAUGGGUAUCUACCCCGAAAGGGGAUGGAAAUCUCCUAAAGCCAAUCUUAGUUCGGAUUGAGGGCUGCAACUCGCCCUCAUGAAGCUGGAAUCCGUAGUAAUCGCGUUUCAACAGAACGCGGUGAAUACGUCCCUGCUCCUUGCACACACCGCCCGUCAAACCACCCGAGUAGGGUCUGAAUGAGAGCGCUUCCUCUGGAGGCGUUCGAAUUUGGGCUUUGCAAGGGGGGUUAAGUCGUAACAAGGUA